rnacentral:rRNA from 1 species
AUUGAACGCUGGCGGCAGGCCUAACACAUGCAAGUCGAGCGGCAGCGGGGGGAAGCUUGCUUCCUCGCCGGCGAGCGGCGGACGGGUGAGUAAUGUCUGGGAAACUGCCCGAUGGAGGGGGAUAACUACUGGAAACGGUAGCUAAUACCGCAUAACGUCGAAAGACCAAAGUGGGGGACCUUCGGGCCUCACACCAUCGGAUGAACCCAGAUGGGAUUAGCUAGUAGGCGGGGUAAAGGCCCACCUAGGCGACGAUCUCUAGCUGGUCUGAGAGGAUGACCAGCCACACUGGAACUGAGACACGGUCCAGACUCCUACGGGAGGCAGCAGUGGGGAAUAUUGCACAAUGGGGGAAACCCUGAUGCAGCCAUGCCGCGUGUAUGAAGAAGGCCUUCGGGUUGUAAAGCACUUUCAGCGAGGAGGAAGGCGUUGUAGUUAAUAACUGCAGCGAUUGACGUUACUCGCAGAAGAAGCACCGGCUAACUCCGUGCCAGCAGCCGCAGUAACAC